CCUACGGGCGGCAGCAGUGAGGAAUAUUGGUCAAUGGACGAGAGUCUGAACCAGCCAAGUAGCGUGAAGGAUGACUGCCCUAUGGGUUGUAAACUUCUUUUAUAUGGGAAUAAAAUGUUCCACGUGUGGGAUUUUGUAUGUACCAUAUGAAUAAGGAUCGGCUAACUCCGUGCCAGCAGCCGCGGUAAUACGGAGGAUCCGAGCGUUAUCCGGAUUUAUUGGGUUUAAAGGGAGCGUAGGUGGAUUGUUAAGUCAGUUGUGAAAGUUUGCGGCUCAACCGUAAAAUUGCAGUUGAAACUGGCAGUCUUGAGUAUAGUAGAGGUGGGCGGAAUUCGUGGUGUAGCGGUGAAAUGCUUAGAUAUCACGAAGAACUCCGAUUGCGAAGGCAGUUCACUGGACUGCAACUGACACUGAGGCUCGAAAGUGUGGGUAUCAAACAGGAUUAGAUACCCGGGUAGUC
rnacentral:rRNA from 1 species